GAUGAAGAACGUAGCGAACUGCGAUAAGUAAUGUGAAUUGCAGAAUUCAGUGAAUCAUCGAGUCUUUGAACGCACAUUGCGCCCCCUGGCAUUCCGGGGGGCAUGCCUGUCCGAGCGUCAUUUCUGCCCUUCAAGCCCGGCUUGUGUGUUGGGUCGUCGUCCCCCCCGGGGGACGGGCCCGAAAGGCAGCGGCGGCACCGCGUCCGGUCCUCGAGCGUAUGGGGCUUUGUCACCCGCUCGAUUAGGGCCGGCCGGGCGCCAGCCGGCGUCUCCAACCUUUUAUUUUACCAGGUUGACCUCGGAUCAGGUAGGGAUACCCGCUGAACUUAAGCAUAUCAAUAAGCGGAGGA
rnacentral:misc_RNA from 1 species